CUCCCAGUCUGUGCUCGUACUUUUAAAGAACCUUAGAACUCCCCAAAAUGAGAGUUCUAGAAUGUGUGUUCCUCUUAGCUCUCAUCUCAGCUGUUCAGGGGCAGUCACUCACCUCCUCUGAGCCAGUGGUGAAGAGACCUGCAGAGUCAGUAACACUGUCCUGUGCUGUGUCUGGAAUCUCCAUGGGUAGCUACUGGAUGCAAUGGAUCCGUCAGAAACCAGGGAAAGGACUAGAGUGGAUUGGAUACAUUAACACUGGAACCACUGCUUACUAUGCCCAGUCUCUCCAGGGCCAGUUCACCAUCACCAAAGACAGCUCCAAAAACCAGCUGUACUUAGAGGUGAAAAGCCUGAAGAUUGAAGACUCUGCAGUUUAUUAUUGUGCCAGAGACACAAUGACACAGGAGCCUGCAGCGCCGUACAAAAACUGA